UCCCGCUUAGAUAAAAUUUCCCAAAUAUUCCCUCUACUCCAAAAUUUCCCAAAUAACUGAACUCAAAAGUCAAAACCCUCUCUUUCACCAUCUUCCCUCUGCAACAAAAUUCCCUAAAUAAUUGAACUCAAUACCCAAAUCAACCAAGAUGGGCAUGCCGGAACAAAGACAUCCAUUUGGAUUUCAACGAGGAAAUGUGUAAUACCUCGCCGCAGCUUUGCAAACUCGUCACCGCAACUUCGCGACCUGGCCGCCGCCGCCACCGCUAUGCACGUCAAUGUUAAAGGACUUCGUCAAGCAGAUUGUUCAAAAAGUUGAGGAUGGAGAUUCUGCCCUUCAACUUACCUGUCUCUAUGGUCAUCUGUCUUGCAUCCAAGUGAGUUUAGGGAGAAAAAUCUAUUGUUAGAGGCUAAGGAUGAAGACUGUGGAAUUCCUCUGCAUGAUGCUUGUGUUGGAGUAUUGACUAUUGAGGGUGGGGAGUCAUAGAUCACUAGAGGGCAGGGGCGGACCUGUACUUGUAAUCUCUAUCACCAAAGAAGUUAAGAAGGUGUAAAAUUCUUAACAAGAUCUGAAUACGGAACACACCAGUUGACAAGCCUGAAGAAGCUACUGUUAAUGAUGGAAUGAAUCUUAUUGAGGUAAAUACGAACAAAAACACAAGAGAGUUUUACAUGUUGAGCUUGUGGAGUUGUGGCCAGAUAGUAAUACAGCAGGAAGGGGAGGUGUGUCAUCCAAUAGUGGUUUUAGCUGAGAAAGUGAUAUUUAUAUCUGGAUGCAAGAGGGUAUUUGCAAGCAUGAUCUUUGAAGCACCCUCUAACGGUGGCUGCUACUGAGAAAGCUAAAAUAAAUCUAUAAAGCAAGAGAGCUAAAUGUGAGGCUGAGUCCAAAUACCUCUCUGGUUCGGGUAUUGCAUGCCAACAAGAAGCUAUUGUGGAUGGGUUCAGACAUAUCAAGACCGGCCACUAGAUACAAGUUUAUUCCCCACCACAACAGCAACAAGGUGGCCCCCAUCCCAUGGAUGCAUGUCUGUAGUACUUUAAGUUGAAAAGUAGUGAGUAUAUGGAUUUGAAGAAAACAACCUAGAAACAGUUCUUAGUUUAUAUAUAUAGUCAUUUCCCCAUGUAACUUUUAUAUAUAGGUUUUGAUUAGAAGCUUCCGUCUUUAAUUAGUAUUUAAAUUUGAAUACUUAUGUAUGGAUUUUGGAUUAUUAUUGUUAAUAUCAUUUAGUUUUACAUUUUUU